rnacentral:rRNA from 1 species
UUCACUCUAGCGAGACUGCCGGUAAUAAACCGGAGGAAGGUGGGGAUGACGUCAAAUCAUCAUGCCCCUUAUGACCUGGGCUACACACGUGCUACAAUGGCUGGUACAACGAGUCGCAAGCCGGUGACGGCAAGCUAAUCUCUUAAAGCCAGUCUCAGUUCGGAUUGUAGGCUGCAACUCGCCUACAUGAAGUCGGAAUCGCUAGUAAUCGCGGAUCAGCACGCCGCGGUGAAUACGUUCCCGGGCCUUGUACACACCGCCCGUCACACCACGAGAGUUUGUAACACCCGAAGUCGGUGAGGUAACCGUAAGGAGCCAGCCGCCUAAGGUGGGAUAGAUGAUUGGGGUGAAGUCGUAACAAGGUAACCGUAAAUC